UGUGGAGGGAAAAAAUGGUUUUCUCUUUCUCUCUAAGGAAUCGUUUCACCCGGUUAGAAGAUUACACCAGGUCAGACGUGGCUAAGGAUUUUCUUAUUCCUGACAGCAGCAGGAAGGAGAGGAAGGCAACCUUGAUGGGAGCUGGGAACAGAGUGCAACAGGGAGGAAGAUUUCGCUUCUGAGCAACUUUUGGGGAGCCUGGUCGCCCACCCAUCUGCAGCCCCUGGCUCUAUUCACCGCUCAGGAAUUACGUGCCAAACCUGGAACAGGGACUUACCUUCCUAGCCAAGCUCUCAGGGAGGACUUGACCAGAAAGGCGAACACAGGGUUUUGCCUCACCUCCCUGUGACUGAAGCGUCUUCCAGGUCCAA
rnacentral:lncRNA from 1 species